ACCAUUACACCAUUACACCAUUUGCACCAUUACACCAUUACACCAUUUUGCACUAUUACACCAUUACACCAUUUGCACCAUUACACCAUUACAAUUUUGCACCAUUACACCAUUAUACUAUUUGCACCAUUACACCGUUACACCAUUUGCACAAUUACACUAUUACACCAUUACAUCAUUUGCUGGUCGGCAAAUUAGAUCUUAAAAUUUUAUUAAAUAAUUUUAUAAGCUU
rnacentral:lncRNA from 1 species